rnacentral:rRNA from 1 species
GGAUAACUCCGGGAAACCGGGGCUAAUACCGGAUGCUUGUUUGAACCGCAUGGUUCAAUUAUAAAAGGUGGCUUUUAGCUACCACUUACAGAUGGACCCGCGGCGCAUUAGCUAGUUGGUGAGGUAACGGCUCACCAAGGCGACGAUGCGUAGCCGACCUGAGAGGGUGAUCGGCCACACUGGGACUGAGACACGGCCCAGACUCCUACGGGAGGCAGCAGUAGGGAAUCUUCCGCAAUGGACGAAAGUCUGACGGAGCAACGCCGCGUGAGUGAUGAAGGUUUUCGGAUCGUAAAACUCUGUUGUUAGGGAAGAACAAGUACCGUUCGAACAGGGCGGUACCUUGACGGUACCUAACCAGAAAGCCACGGCUAACUACGUGCCAGCAGCCGCGGUAAUACGUAGGUGGCAAGCGUUGUCCGGAAUUAUUGGGCGUAAAGCGCGCGCAGGCGGUUUCUUAAGUCUGAUGUGAAAGCCCCCGGCUCAACCGGGGAGGGUCAUUGGAAACUGGGGAACUUGAGUGCAGAAGAGGAGAGUGGAAUUCCACGUGUAGCGGUGAAAUGCGUAGAGAUGUGGAGGAACACCAGUGGCGAAGGCGACUCUCUGGUCUGUAACUGACGCUGAGGCGCGAAAGCGUGGGGAGCGAACAGGAUUAGAUACCCUGGUAGUCCACGCCGUAAACGAUGAGUGCUAAGUGUUAGAGGGUUUCCGCCCUUUAGUGCUGCAGCAAACGCAUUAAGCACUCCGCCUGGGGAGUACGGUCGCAAGACUGAAACUCAAAGGAAUUGACGGGGGCCCGCACAAGCGGUGGAGCAUGUGGUUUAAUUCGAAGCAACGCGAAGAACCUUACCAGGUCUUGACAUCCUCUGACACCCCUAGAGAUAGGGCUUCCCCUUCGGGGGCAGAGUGACAGGUGGUGCAUGGUUGUCGUCAGCUCGUGUCGUGAGAUGUUGGGUUAAGUCCCGCAACGAGCGCAACCCUUGAUCUUAGUUGCCAGCAUUCAGUUGGGCACUCUAAGGUGACUGCCGGUGACAAACCGGAGGAAGGUGGGGAUGACGUCAAAUCAUCAUGCCCCUUAUGACCUGGGCUACACACGUGCUACAAUGGGCAGAACAAAGGGCAGCGAAGCCGCGAGGCUAAGCCAAUCCCACAAAUCUGUUCUCAGUUCG